GCCCUUAGAGUUUGAUCCUGGCUCAGGAUGAACGCUGGCGGUAUGCUUUACACAUGCAAGUCGUACGAGGAGUUUUUAACUCAAGUGGGCGGACGGGUGGAGUAACACGUAAGAAUUUGCCUUUAGGAGGGGGGAUAACAACUGGAAACGGUUGCUAAUACCCCAUAUGCUUUCGGAGUAAAAUGAGAUUUUCCGCCUUAAAAGAGGAAAGCUUGCGGGCUGAUUUAGCUUGUUUGGGUGGAGGGUAAUGGGCUCCACCCAAGGGCGGGCGGAUCGGUAUCUGGUUUGGGAGAGGGACGAUCAGACACACUGGAAACUGAGACACGGUCCAGACUCUUACGGGAGGCAGCAGUGGGGGAAUUUUCCGCAAUGGGCGAAAAGCCUGACGGAGCAAUACCGCGUGAGGGAUGACGGCCUAUGGGUUGUAAACCUCUUUUUUCAGGGAGGAAUCAAUGACGUGUACCUGAAGAAUAAGCAUCGGCUAACUCCGUGCCAGCAGCCGCGGUAAGACGGAGGAUGCAAGUGUUAUCCGGAAUCACUGGGCGUAAAGCGUCUGUAGGUGGUCAAAUAAGUCAACUGUUAAAUCUUGAGGCUCAACCUCAAAAUCGCAGUCGAAACUAAUUCGACUAGAGUAUAAGUAGGGGUAAAGGGAAUUUCCAGUGGAGCGGUGAAAUGCGUAGAAGAUUGGAAAGGAACNACCGAUGGCGAAGGCCACUUUACUGGGCUAUUACUAACACCUGAGAGACGAAAGCUAGGGUAGCAAAUGGGAUUAGAUACCCCAGUAGUCCUAGCCGUAAACAAUGGAUACUAGAUGUUGAACAGAUCGACCUGUGCAGUAUCAAAGCUAACGCGUUAAGUAUCCCGCCUGGGAAGUAUGCUCGCAAGAGUGAAACUCAAAUGAAUUGACGGGGAAGGGC
rnacentral:rRNA from 1 species